rnacentral:rRNA from 1 species
UUGACUGUGCUAAGGUAGCAUAAUAAAUUGGCUUUUAAUUGAAGUCGGGAAUGAAAGGGUGUUUGGAGUUAUCCUGUCUUAUUUUUAUUUUUUAAAAAUUAUUAAUGGGGUGAAAAUUCCUCAAUUUUAUCUGAUAGACGAGAAGACCCUAAGAAUUAUUACAACUAUUAAAAUAAUUUAAUAAAAGUUUUUGUUGGGGCAACAACUUUGGAAGUAAAUAACCAAAGUAGAUUGAUUUAUAUUAUAGUAUAAAAAGAUUAUAUUAACAAUGAAUUUAAUUACCUUAGGGAUAACAGCAUAAUUAUAUUUUAGAUUGUGACCUCGAUGUUGGAUUANGGCCU